AAACAAGAAAUGAUUUAUCAUAUGUGAUUUCGACUCAUACCUAGAUGUUAAUACAUCCUUGUUUC
rnacentral:tRNA from 1 species